CUGUAAGGUUUCAGUAGUGAACGUGCGUGAAGGAUCAUUAUCGCAUAACCGAGGCGCAAGGGCUGUCGCUGACUUUUUGUCGUGCACGCCCGAGUGCUCUCACACACCAUCCAUCUCACCCCUUAUUGUGCACCACCGCGUGGGUCCCCCUUUCGGCUUGAUUCGGAGGGGGGCUUGCGUUUUCACACAAACAUUGAUCAUGUAAAUGUCUUUAUUUUAUUUGCGAUCACACGCAAUCAAUACAACUUUCAACCAACGGAUCUCUUGGCUCUCGGCAUCGAUAAGAACUGCAUCUGAAGUGCGAUACUGUAGUGUGAAUUGCANAAUUCAGUGAAUCAUCGAAUCUUUGAACGCACCUNGCGCCCCUUGGCAUUCCGAGGGGCACACCCGUUUGAGUGUACGUGAAAUUAUCAAAACCCUUUCUUUUUGGUCUUUUGAUCUCGGCGGAAAGGUUUUGGACUUGGAGGCCUUUUGCUGGUAUACGCCUUUAAGCGAGUCUCCUCCAUACAUAAUUANUGGGUCUAGCUUUGCCCAGAUCCUUGACGUGUAUGAUUGCUUCUACGUCAUCAGGCGUUUGGCACUGUCCCUUGAGGCACCUAUUUACUANCCUUUCCUUCNUGGACUUCGAUGGUAGUAUCUGGUCCCACGCGUUUCAUCGUGUUGGAGGCUUGACCCACGAACGAACUUGAGCUCAAAUCGGGUGAGACUACCGUGAACUUAAGGCAUAUCAUUAAGCGNNGGAAAAACUCGUGGUAUUCCCUAUACUGCCAGUGAGCGGCAAAGCCAUUUAAAUUGGUGCUGGCUCCAGUGUAUUGAAAC
rnacentral:rRNA from 1 species